UACGUAGGUGGCAAGCGUUAUCCGGAUUUAUUGGGCGUAAAGAGAACGCAGGCGGUCUUUUAAGUCUGAUGUGAAAGCCUUCGGCUUAACCGGAGUAGUGCAUUGGAAACUGGGAGACUUGAGUGCAGAAGAGGAGAGUGGAACUCCAUGUGUAGCGGUGAAAUGCGUAGAUAUAUGGAAGAACACCGGUGGCGAAAGCGGCUCUCUGGCCUGUAACUGACACUGAGGCUCGAAAGCGUGGGGAGCAAACAGG
rnacentral:rRNA from 1 species